GAUGAACGCUAGCGGCAGGCCUAAUACAUGCAAGUCGAACGGGAUUAAGAGGCUUGCUUCUUAUGAGAGUGGCGCACGGGUGCGUAACACGUAUGCAACCUACCUUCAACUGGGGGAUAGCCUUCCGAAAGGGAGAUUAAUACCGCAUAACAUAAUUGAGUGGCAUCACUUGAUUAUCAAACGUCAGGGUUGAAGAUGGGCAUGCGUCCGAUUAGGUUGUUGGUGAGGUAACGGCUCAACAAGACUACGAUCGGUAGGGGAACUGAGAGGAUGGCCCCCCACACUGGUACUGAGACACGGACCAGACUCCUACGGGAGGCAGCAGUAAGGAAUAUUGGUCAAUGGACGGAAGUCUGAACCAGCCAUGCCGCGUGCAGGAAGACGGUCCUCUGGAUUGUAAACUGCUUUUGUUAGGGAAGAAACUUCCGUACGUGUACGGGACUGACGGUACCUAAAGAAUAAGGAUCGGCUAACUCCGUGCCAGCCGCCGCAGUAACAC
rnacentral:rRNA from 1 species